rnacentral:rRNA from 1 species
GGCGGCAUGCCUUACACAUGCAAGUCGAACGGCAGCGCGGGGCAACCUGGCGGCGAGUGGCGAACGGGUGAGUAAUAUAUCGGAACGUACCCUGGAGUGGGGGAUAACGUAGCGAAAGUUACGCUAAUACCGCAUACGAUCUAAGGAUGAAAGUGGGGGAUCGCAAGACCUCAUGCUCCUGGAGCGGCCGAUAUCUGAUUAGCUAGUUGGUGGGGUAAAGGCCUACCAAGGCAUCGAUCAGUAGCUGGUCUGAGAGGACGACCAGCCACACUGGAACUGAGACACGGUCCAGACUCCUACGGGAGGCAGCAGUGGGGAAUUUUGGACAAUGGGCGCAAGCCUGAUCCAGCAAUGCCGCGUGAGUGAAGAAGGCCUUCGGGUUGUAAAGCUCUUUUGUCAGGGAAGAAACGGUGGGAGCUAAUAUCUCCUGCUAAUGACGGUACCUGAAGAAUAAGCACCGGCUAACUACGUGCCAGCAGCCGCGGUAAUACGUAGGGUGCAAGCGUUAAUCGGAAUUACUGGGCGUAAAGCGUGCGCAGGCGGUUUUGUAAGACUGUCGUGAAAUCCCCGGGCUCAACCUGGGAAUGGCGAUGGUGACUGCAAGGCUAGA